UACGUAGGGAGCAAGCGUUGUCCGGAAUUAUUGGGCGUAAAGAGCUUGUAGGCGGUCUGUCGCGUCUGCUGUGAAAAUCCGGGGCUCAACCCCGAACUUGCAGUGGGUACGGGCAGACUAGAGUGUGGUAGGGGAGACUGGAAUUCCUGGUGUAGCGGUGAAAUGCGCAGAUAUCAGGAGGAACACCGAUGGCGAAGGCAGGUCUCUGGGCCAUAACUGACGCUGAGAAGCGAAAGCAUGGGGAGCGAACAGG
rnacentral:rRNA from 1 species